UUAAGCUACUCUCUGACACAGCUGCAUAUUUAAAUGGCAUAAACUAUUAAUUUAAAUGGACUACUUGCACAAUCACUUCCGCGGUCCAUGUAGUCCUGCCCCAGUGCUUCCGGUGUGGUUAAACCAUGGCGGCGUUCUAUACUCGCUGUCUACAAGAGCUCCCAAAAUUGAACAUCACUGAUGUUCAUCGGAUUUGCAGAGUGACGACUACCCCCGCCAGCAAAUUAGAUAAAGGAUUUAAGUUAUAUGCUGCAUCAUAUAUACACAACUACGAAGGAGUGGCUUCUACAGAGGCAUGGUGGGUUCGUUACCAGAUCCCUGCUUGUUCAGAAUAACGGAGGCAUAUGCAAAAUUUAAUAUUGAGGACAGACCACUUGUGACCACAAUGAACAUGAGACCUGACAAGCCCCUUGUGGAAAGUGCUUUUGGGCUGGUGCAGGAGGGCAGUGUUCUGUCAUAUCAGCAGCCGGUUUUGACAACCCGGUACAUCACACUACACCGUGAUGCACCACCAACACCGCACUUGCCUCUGGAGGGGUAUGACAUCUUGCCAUCAGAUUGUGUGUUUGUGUGCUCAGAAGAAGAGCUUCUGCAUCUGAAAAGCUUGUCUGUAACUCUGGAAAUGGCUCACAAAAUAGAGGAAGCUACACGUGAGCAAAGCUCUUCAUCUGAGUGGCAUCAGCUCCGCAGGCCCAGAGUGACUGCCUCUAGGUUUCGGGAGGUGUCACGUCAGAGGCCAGAGCUCAGCAGAUUCACUAGCAGAGCGUAUAUUGAAGGGAACAAGGCAGACAGCAGACAUGAGGAGAGGAACUGAGAUGGAGCCUGCAAUAGCAGCAGAGUAUAGUAGGCUAAUGAAUGUUAACUACUCACCCUGUGGUCUGGUCAUUCACCCCAUUGCCCCCUGGCUUGCUGCAUCUCCUGAUGGUGUUGUUUUUGACCCCAAUGAAUACCCCCAGUUUGGCCUUGUCGAAUUCAAAUGUCCCAAUGUACAAAACUUUAUUGACUGCAAAUAUGUGCAGAUGGAAUGUGGUACCCCUAAACUAAAAAAGAGCCACGCAUAUUACUGGCAAGUGCAAGGACAACUGCUCAUCAGUUGGAUGCAGUGGUGUGACUUUGUUGUGUGGGCACAAGAGGACUACCUAGUGCAAAGAAUAUACAUGGAUACAGAUGUGCACAAUGCAAUCAGAGAAAAGGCUGACUACUUCUUUUUUUACAUAUAUAUGCCAAGAUACCUGUGUUUGGAAAAAUAAACAGUGAAAACAUAGCAAAAAAGGAAAACAGAUCCUUCAGGCUGGCUGGAACAAAAUAACUGAUGUUUUAUUUGCAAAGUAUUUCAUGAAUUAUUUUGUUGUUACUUUUAUGUGAAAUCAAUAAACUGUUAUUUAAGCAAUGGCAUCAAUUUCAUUUUUUUAAAAACACACAUUUAAACAUUGAAUUUCUAUAGAACUUAUUUACAUGGUAAGUAUUUAACACUCCAUGCCUAGCAUACUGAUAUACAUUUAGACAAUAACACAACUGAGGGAAGAAAAUGACAAAUGGUAUUUUGGAUGUUCCAAAAGCACAAUGUCACUUAUGAUUUUAAAACGAUUUAGUGAUUUACUUUAUAAUUUUGAUAAACAAUUUUGUUGAAUCUGAAUAGUAAUAUAGUAUUAUAAUUAAA